AAAAAAAUUAUCAAAUGAAUAUUCUUCAUAAAGGCCUUCCCUGACCAUUAUUCCUACUUCUCAAAAUAGGUUCUACUAUCAGAUAAUUCCAUAGUCCCCAUAGCUGCCCCUUCUGACACUCAUGAUAACAACCUUUAAGGUUCCUUUGUGGAUGGAUGCCAUGUUUUUAGAAAAUUAAACAAAGUCAGUAUUAGAGGAUUAGGACAGAAAGAAGCUAUGGAAUUCUAGACUAGCCCUCAUCAUCUGGUUUUUUAAUUCUAGAAAUUUCAUAGGGGAGCUUUUCAGAUCCAUCUGAUUCCUAAGAGCAUUUUUCUUAAAAGUCCCCCAGAUAUCAUUUGAAACCUGCCUUGAAAGAGUAUGUCAUUUUGAAGGUAAACUCAUGUAGUAAGAAUUCUAACAGAUUAGUUUUAGAAACUCUACUAUGUAUUUCAUUGAGAUUAAAACUAGCAUUAUUUAUUUAAUCAUCCCCAUAGUUUCAGUUCAUUCAGGAUUCUGAUUAUGUGUAGAGUUUUUGAUGAGUUGGAAACUGUAUUAUGACUUAUUUAUAAUUCACAAAAUUCGCAUGGGAAGGAAGCUAUAAGGUAGAAAGAACAAAGCUGAAUCUUGAGCAUGUGGUAAAUUUACAAAUGUAAACGAUGUCUUAACUAAAAUAACAAAUUCAAUAUACAUGCUGUAAUAUCAGAAUAGCUAUGAAAAGAGUAAAAAAUGAAAUUAUAUUUUGUUUUUACAGAAUUCCGAAGUACUCAGCACACAGAUGGCCACACUGGGGCAGAAGCCUACCAUAUAUACAAUUCUGAAGAGAAAAGUUUAUUUAUCAAAUGAGAAAAUGAAAAAAGGGUAUUCUGGUUUCUUCCCACAUCCCAAAGCUGUGCACUUGAAGUUCAUUGGUGUGUCUGCAUGGUCCCAGUUGGAGUUUGUGUGGGUGUGAAUGUCAAUGUUCUGCUCUACGAUGGGAAAGGCGUCCUGUCCGGAGUGGGCUCCUGCCUUGAGCCCUGAGCUGCCAGAAUGGACUCUGGCCAACCACAACCCUGAACUGGAAUAAGCAGGUUAGAAAAUGAACAAUUGGAGGGAUGAAUACAAACUAUUGUAAAAUAAAAAUGUGUAAAGUAGACAAGACUCUGACAUGACAA